rnacentral:tRNA from 1 species
UCCCGUGUGGCUCAGUUGGUAGAGCAUGGUGUUUGCAACGCCAGGGUUGUGUGUUCGAUUCCCACUGGGGAC